rnacentral:snRNA from 1 species
AUAAUUUCACAGCCUUUUGGCUAAGACAAAUGUAAUAUGCAUUAUUAGUUAAUAGCUUGUAUGUUCUUUAUCUGAGGAUAAUAUGUUAAGUGGAUUUUUGGAGCAGGGAGAUGAAAUAGAAGCUCACUCUGCCCACUCUGUGCAUCAACCUGAUAUUGCAGCACCUUCAAAAAUGGUGCAACCCAU